rnacentral:RNase_P_RNA from 1 species
AGAGUAAUCUAGGCAAUCGCUGCUUGGUAUUUGUAAAAAAAUACUGAAUGGAGGAAAGUCCGGACUCCUAGCAAAAAGGUGCCUUACGAGAGCAUGCUCAAGUAAGGAAGGUGUGAACCUAUGGAAAGUGCCACAGAAAAUAACCGCCUAACAUUGAAAAAUGAAGGGUAAGGGUGAAAAUGUGCGGUAAGAGCGCACAGGCAAUGAUAGUGAUAUUAUUGCAGGGUAAACCCCGCCUGGAGCAAGGCAAAGCAUGAAACUGGUCCUUUGCUACCAAUAGUUUCAGGGUAUGCCGCAUAGAUAAAUGGUUGCCAUUAUGUAGAAAUACACAAACAGAAUCCGGCUUAUUGAUUACUCUACCU